rnacentral:lncRNA from 1 species
UUGCUCCUUCCGCUGUCUCGCGCGAUCUGGGUGCCGGUGCACGGAACUCUCGCGAGGAAGGAGGGAACCGAUGACCCUAGGUUGGCUGACAUCAGUCGCUAGACCCGCAGCCCGCAGGCCCCGUUAGUCCCUGAACUGGCUUUCAUGGCCCAAGGUGUCUGUCAGUACUGCUGGGAAAGCUGCCUGUCCUGGACAUUUGCCAUCUGCUGCACCCAGUCCCGAGACCCCAACUCGGUCAUCCGAAGAAGCCACAUCUGUGGACAGCCCAGGAUCACCAGACACCUGAGAAAGAAGAAAAGGGACUCAGAAGAAACAGAGACGAUAAAGGAAGCCGAAGAAAAAUGAAAACUAAAAUGCCAUUCUCAGUCAAUAAAAAGGAACUGGGGGCUAUAGAGAAAGAAACCUCGGGAUGAGAAAGAGCUCUUAGAAAUAAAACAUGAGGGGAAAGUGAGCAAUUCAAUAGGCUUUUAAGAUGAAGUCUUCCAGAAUGUAUAAUGACAGAACCAGAUAGCUGGAAAACAGAAUAGCAGUAACACAGGAAACAGGGCAAAUGAAGGAAGAGGAAAGCAGUACAGGACACUGGUGAAGAGUUAACCCAUGCUGACCACUGGGCUGGAACCAGAGAAAUGGUUCGUGACACAGACUGAACCUGCUAGCUCUGAAGAUGGAGGAGGGGGCCAAGAGCCAAGGAAUGUAGGCAGCCUCUACAAGCUGGAAGUGGCCUUAGUUUACAGUCAGCAAGAAAGUGGGGACCUUGGCCCUGCCACCGAAAGGAUGUGGAU